CCGCCGCUCAUGGUGCGCGCCUCUCCGGCUCCGGGCCGGGCGCGCUCCCGACACCGCCGACGCCGGACAGCCGCGCAGCGGCGGGGACCUAGCUCUCCGGCGGCGCACCCCGGGCGGACGGGCUCCGUGGCGCGCCGGCUCUCGGCCUCCGAGCUUCUUCCCCGCAAGCAGGUCCGCGGACAGGAAAGGCCAUGUGAGGACACAGUGAGAAAGUGGCUGUCUGCAAGCCAGGAAGAAAGAUCUUACCAGAAGUCAACCCUGCUGACACCUUGAUCUUGGAUUUCCAGCCUCCAGAACCAUAUAAUGUAUACUCUUCUGUAUGUACGAUGAAGAAAAAAAUUAAGACAAACUCCCACCUUCUCCAAAGAAACAAAGGAAGGAAACCGAGCACGAAAGGAGAGAACUGUCUGCGGCUGGUGUGGGACACAUGGGGAUGGGUGGUGCGACUCACACAGCUUUUCUCUCACUGGAUCCUAACUGAAAGCAUGAUUUUGGUAGUCCAGACACUAAAAUAAUGGAGACACUCCUAAUGGAAGUUGGGGGGAGAAAUAUAUAUGAAGAGACAAGCCCUUUCCAAAAUUUACAUUAAGAUCAGCAAUUCGCAUUGCUCUCCUAUGUGUCAGGCUAUAUGAUACAGAGUAGAAAAUAGUUUGUCAGAUAGGAUUUUUUUGCCUAGGCUUUUCACAACCACUAAUCCUGCCAAUACUAUAGAAACAGCAAGAGUCUUUCUAACACUUGUAAAUCUAGCUGUGACUUUACUCAACUCCACACCCUUAUUUUUACUAAGAUCUGAUUAAGUUUUUUACAACUGUUUUAUAAAUAGGUAUAAUGCUAUUUCUUAAAGCCAAAGUUGUAUCCUAGACAUAGCAAUCUAUUACACAGCAUUAUUACUAUGAAAUGGGCACAAACUUUUAACUAUAACCCAGGAAUGAAUGUAAAAACAAAAUUGAGAAUAAGAGCAAAAACAUACACAUACAGGUUCCACGUGUUCAAAACUAAAAAAUGAUAGCUGAAAACGGCUGUGUACAAAAAUCUCAACAUCACACAUUCUCACUGCCUGGCAGUUAUGAGAACAUGUUCAUCAGGAAAACAGAAGAAACACUAUAGUCUCCUAAUACAAACUUAAGAUGCCAGAUGAUUCAGUUACACAGUAUGAGAAACAUCACAAUUCAAACCUUACCAAUUAUAUUACUGUAAUUAAAGGGAAAUAAUAAAGUCUAAAUAUAUUUAAGUUUCUAAUUAAGAGUUGAGUAUGUUUUUGUAAUUUGCUUUAAAAAAGCACUUUGAUAA